UGGGGAAUUUUGGACAAUGGGGGCAACCCUGAUCCAGCCAUGCCGCGUGUGUGAAGAAGGCCUUCGGGUUGUAAAGCACUUUCGGACGGAACGAAAUCGCGCGAGUUAAUAGUUCGCGUGGAUGACGGUACCGUAAGAAGAAGCACCGGCUAACUCCGUGCCAGCAGCCGCGGUAAGACGGAGGGGGCUAGCGUUGUUCGGAAUUACUGGGCGUAAAGCGCACGUAGGCGGCCUUUCGAGUCAGGCGUGAAAGCCCCGGGCUUAACCCGGGAAUUGCGUUUGAUACUGUUGGGCUUGAGACCGGGAGAGGAUAGCGGAAUUCCCAGUGUAGAGGUGAAAUUCGUAGAUAUUGGGAAGAACACCAGUGGCGAAGGCGGCUAUCUGGACACAUAUUGACGCUGAGGUGCGAAAGCGUGGGGAGCAAA
rnacentral:rRNA from 1 species